AACUGUUUGCCUAUUAUCAACCUC
rnacentral:siRNA from 1 species